CUUAUACUCCCUCCGUCCGAAAAUACUUGUCAUCAAAAUGGAUAAAGAGGGAUGUAUCUAGAACUAAAAUACAUUUAGAUACAUCCCCUUUUAUUUAUUUUAAUGACAAGUAUUUCCGGACGGAGGGAGUAAUAU
rnacentral:pre_miRNA from 1 species